UACGAAGGGGGCUAGCGUUGCUCGGAAUCACUGGGCGUAAAGGGUGCGUAGGCGGGUCUUUAAGUCAGGGGUGAAAUCCUGGAGCUCAACUCCAGAACUGCCUUUGAUACUGAGGAUCUUGAGUUCGGGAGAGGUGAGUGGAACUGCGAGUGUAGAGGUGAAAUUCGUAGAUAUUCGCAAGAACACCAGUGGCGAAGGCGGCUCACUGGUCCGAUACUGACGCUGAGGCACGAAAGCGUGGGGAUCAAACAGG
rnacentral:rRNA from 1 species